GCCGGGGUGGCCGAGUCUGGCUUUAGGCGGCGGACUGCAGAUCCGCUUACGCUGGUUCAAAUCCGGCCCCCGGCU
rnacentral:tRNA from 1 species